CCUCGCCUUUUGUAAAAACCUCGUGACGCACAUCUCGGGCGCGCCUCUGCGGCACAGCCGGUGCAUGUCGGGCCUUGACCGCUGGAGCCCCAUGUCCCGCCCCGGAAGGAGAUGCCAAUUUUAGGGCCUAAGUGACCCGUCCUUCCGGCCCCAGCGCUGGGCUCCCUGGACAUUUCGGGGGGUCACCAGGUGGAAUCUGGAUGAUGGACUGCGCGACGGCCGGCCUCACGCUCAUCGUGGCCCUAGUUUGAAUGCUGUUUCGGACACUUUAUACAGCAAGAUCGCAAACAUGGGAGCUCUGAGACAUGUCAGAUAAAAGAUCAAGGUUUAGAAAAAUGUGUAUAGUGUUCUGUUUGUGUGAAUAAAGGGAGGAUAAGGAAUAUAUCUGCAUGUAAAUGUUGGACUGUUCCAAGUACACAGAGCAUCUCUGCAAGAAACUAUUAACACUUCCUCUGAGGAGGAAGAGAGGAGGUCAAGGGUGGAAAGACAGGUUCUCAUCAAGUUGCUUAGGGCCUUGCUAAG